UCGGGAAUUUUGGGCAAUGGGCGAAAGCCUGACCCAGCAACGCCGCGUGAAGGAUGAAAUCCCUCGGGAUGUAAACUUCGCAAGAACGGGAAGAAUAAGCCGGUGUUAACACCAUCGGUGAUGACGGUACUGUUUGUAAGCUCCGGCUAACUCCGUGCCAGCAGCCGCGGUAAUACGGGGGGAGCAAGCGUUGUUCGGAUUUACUGGGCGUAAAGGGCGCGUAGGCGGCCUCUGCAAGUCGACUGUGAAAUCUCCGGGCUUAACCCGGAACGGUCAGCCGAUACUGCAGGGCUAGAGUGCAGAAGGGGCAACUGGAAUUCUCGGUGUAGCGGUGAAAUGCGUAGAUAUCGAGAGGAACACCUGCGGCGAAGGCGGGUUGCUGGGCUGACACUGACGCUGAGGCGCGAAAGCUAGGGGAGCGAACGGGAUUAGAUACCCCGGUAGUCCUAGCCUUAAACGAUGAAUGCUUGGUGUCUGGGGUUUUAUAGUCCCCGGGUGCCGUCGCUAACGCUUUAAGCUA
rnacentral:rRNA from 1 species